UACAGAGGGUGCGAGCGUUAAUCGGAAUUACUGGGCGUAAAGCGCGCGUAGGCGGCUUUGCAAGUCGGGUGUGAAAUCCCCAGGCUUAACCUGGGAACUGCAUUCGAGACUGCAUUGCUAGAGUAUGGGAGAGGGAAGUGGAAUUUCCGGUGUAGCGGUGAAAUGCGUAGAUAUCGGAAGGAACAUCAGUGGCGAAAGCGGGUCUCUGGGCCGAUACUGACGCUGAGGAGCGAAAGCGUGGGGAGCAAACAGG
rnacentral:rRNA from 1 species